rnacentral:rRNA from 1 species
AACGAACGCUGGCGGCAUGCCUAACACAUGCAAGUCGAACGAGACCUUCGGGUCUAGUGGCGCACGGGUGCGUAACGCGUGGGAACCUGCCUUUAGGUUCGGAAUAACUCAGAGAAAUUUGAGCUAAUACCGGAUGAUGUCUUCGGACCAAAGAUUUAUCGCCUUUAGAUGGGCCCGCGUUGGAGUAGCUAGUUGGUGGGGUAAAGGCCUACCAAGGCGACGAUCCAUAGCUGGUCUGAGAGGAUGAUCAGCCACACUGGGACUGAGACACGGCCCAGACUCCUACGGGAGGCAGCAGUGGGGAAUAUUGGACAAUGGGCGAGAGCCUGAUCCAGCAAUGCCGCGUGAGUGAUGAAGGCCUUAGGGUUGUAAAGCUCUUUUAACCGAGAUGAUAAUGACAGUAGCGGGAGAAUAAGCUCCGGCUAACUCCGUG